AACGAACGCUGGCGGCAUGCCUAACACAUGCAAGUCGAACGAGACCUUCGGGUCUAGUGGCGCACGGGUGCGUAACGCGUGGGAACCUGCCCUUAGGUUCGGAAUAACUCCCCGAAAGGGGUGCUAAUACCGGAUAAUGUCUUCGGACCAAAGAUUUAUCGCCUUUGGAUGGGCCCGCGUUGGAUUAGCUAGUUGGUAGGGUAAAAGCCUACCAAGGCGACGAUCCAUAGCUGGUCUGAGAGGAUGAUCAGCCACACUGGGACUGAGACACGGCCCAGACUCCUACGGGAGGCAGCAGUGGGGAAUAUUGGACAAUGGGCGAAAGCCUGAUCCAGCAAUGCCGCGUGAGUGAUGAGGGCCUUAGGGUUGUAAAGCUCUUUUACCCGGGAUGAUAAUGACAGUACCGGGAGAAUAAGCUUCGGCUAACUCCGUG
rnacentral:rRNA from 1 species